GUGGCGCACGGCUGAGUAACACGUGGAACCCGCCCCCCGGUGGGGGAUAACGGGACGAAAGUUGCUAAUCCCGCAUACGUCCGCAGGGGGAAAGCGCUUCGGCGCGCCGGGGGAGGUGCCUGUGGCCAUCAGGUCGUUGGUGGGGUAACGGCCUACCAAGCCGAUGACGGGUAGCUGGUCUGGGAGGAUGACCAGCCAGACUGGGACUGAGACAAGGCCCAGACUCCUACGGGAGGCAGCAGCAAGGAAUUUUUGGCAAUGGGCGCAAGCUGACCGAGCAACGCCGCGUGCGGGAUGACGGCCUUCGGGUUGUAAACCGCUUUUCGGGGGGACGAUGAUGACGGUACCCCCGGAACAAGCCCCGGCUAACUCUGUGCCAGCAGCCGCGGUAAGACAGAGGGGGCGAGCAUUGUCCGGAGUCACUGGGCGUAAAGCGCGCGCAGGCGGUCGCCAAAGUGUCGUGUGAAAGCCCCCGGCUCAACCGGGGGAGGCCAUGGCAAACUCGGCGACUGGAUGCGGCGGAGAGGCCCCUCGAAUUGCCGGUGUAGCGGUGAAAUGCGUAGAGAUCGGCAGGAAGACCAAGGGGGAAGCCAGGGUGCUGGCCGCUGCUGACGCUGAGGCGCGACAGCGUGGGGAGCGAACCGGAUUAGAUACCCGGGUAGUCCACGCCGUAAACAAUGACCACUCGGCGUGCGGCGACUAUUGACGUCGCGGUGCGCCUUAGCUCACGCGCUAAGUGGUCCGCCUGGGAACUACGAGCGCAAGCUUAAAACUCAAAGGAAUUGACGGGGGCCCGCACAAGCAGCGGAGCGUGUGGUUUAAUUCGAGGCAACCCGAAGAACCUUACCCAGGCUUGACAUGACGGUGCAGACGGCGGAAACGCCGUCGCCUGCGAGGGUCCGU
rnacentral:rRNA from 1 species